rnacentral:pre_miRNA from 1 species
CAAGUACUCCCUCCGUUCGGAAUUACUUGUCUCGAAAAUAGAUGUAUCUAGAUGUAUUUUAGUUCUAGAUACAUCCAUUUUCGAGACAAGUAAUUCCGAACGGAGGGAGUAGAAC